ACCUUCACGUGCAUGCACACUAAUCAGUAUCGUGGUGCUGCAAAGGUGGGCCCACUCCGGGACUCAGCAGGGUCGGAAUUUGUCCCACUUGAUAAUGGACGAGCACUUCUAUUAGGUGCACCUUGCAUUGGCCCCUGAGGUGAACUGGAACGUUGUCCACGUGUCUGCUAAUGAUAGCAGAAAUUGCUCAGUUCUAUCCAGCCUUUCUUCCCUGAGUUCAGUGCCGACUGGCCAUUAGAGUAUUUCACAUACAUUUAUUACCUUCACGUGCAUGCACACUAAUCAGUAUCGUGGUGCCGCAAAGGUGGGCCCACUCCGGGACUCAGCAGGGUCGGAAUUUGUCCCACUUGAUAAUGGACGAGCACUUCUAUUAGGUGCACCUUGCAUUGGCCCCUGAGGUGAACUGGAACGUUGUCCACGUGUCUGCUAAUGAUAGCAGAAAUUGCUCAGUUCUAUCCAGCCUUUCUUCCCUGAGUUCAGUGCCGACUGGCCAUUAGAGUAUUUCACAUACAUUUAUUACCUUCACGUGCAUGCACACUAAUCAGUAUCGUGGUGCCGCAAAGGUGGGCCCACUCCGGGACUCAGCAGGGUCGGAAUUUGUCCCACUUGAUAAUGGACGAGCACUUCUAUUAGGUGCACCUUGCAUUGGCCCCUGAGGUGAACUGGAACGUUGUCCACGUGUCUGCUAAUGAUAGCAGAAAUUGCUCAGUUCUAUCCAGCCUUUCUUCCCUGAGUUCAGUGCCGACUGGCCAUUAGAGUAUUUCACAUACAUUUAUUACCUUCACGUGCAUGCACACUAAUCAGUAUCGUGGUGCCGCAAAGGUGGGCCCACUCCGGGACUCAGCAGGGUCGGAAUUUGUCCCACUUGAUAAUGGACGAGCACUUCUAUUAGGUGCACCUUGCAUUGGCCCCUGAGGUGAACUGGAACGUUGUCCAUGUGUCUGCUAAUGAUAGCAGAAAUUGCUCAGUUCUAUCCAGCCUUUCUUCCCUGAGUUCAGUGCCGACUGUCCGUUAGAGUAUUUCACAUACAUUUAUUACCUUCACGUGCAUGCACACUAAUCAGUAUCGUGGUGCCGCAAAGGUGGGCCCACUCCGGGACUCAGCAGGGUCGGAAUUUGUCCCACUUGAUAAUGGACGAGCACUUCUAUUAGGUGCACCUUGCAUUGGCCCCUGAGGUGAACUGGAACGUUGUCCAUGUGUCUGCUAAUGAUAGCAGAAAUUGCUCAGUUCUAUCCAGCCUUUCUUCCCUGAGUUCAGUGCCGACUGGCCAUUAGAAUGUCCGUGCCAGAUUUUCUCUUUUGUUGUCUCUUUGUGUGUUAGUGCGUGUGUUAGUGGAGACGGCUUGGGGUGUUGGUGUUUAGAAAUAAGAAGAAAGGGAAGGCUGUGAAGAUUGAGGGGGGUCGAGAGGUAAAAUGCUUGAAAGAGGUGUGGACGAUCGUGUGUGUGUUGUGUCGUCAUGUGGAAUUUCAAGAUCAGUGUCUGCAUUGCUGGCAAAAUGGCAGAGUUGCAUCGAAGCAAACAGCUCUGACGGUCCAUCUUCAGUGUCCCUCAGCACUUCAUCCAGUGAAGUUGGACUAUCGUCCACGUUUCUUGUGGUUCUAAGUGAAAUAAGAGAAGUGCAUUAUUAAAUCAUUCCUUUGCUGUCACAGAGCCAAGGAGGGGAAAAAAAUAUUCCAUAACAUCAACAUAAAUAUGUUUUUGCUAUAGGAGAAGGGAGAGUUGAGAAUUUCAAAUAGUCAAUUUUAGUGAAUAUAAAUUGCAGUACAGUCGCUACAGCCAGAACAAUGCAAAUAUCCAGACAUAUGAUGCAGAAGCUUCAAGUGCCUGUUUGCUUGCUUGCCAAAUUGACCAGGAAUUGUCAGCUAUUCCUGCAGUGUCUGCUUUCGAUUCUUAUUUUCUGCUGCCUGAUGGGCUGGUUUCUCUAUAGAUCACCUGUAUCUUGGUUCCUCUAGUCCUCUGUCAGUUCUAAUCUCGCUAGUCGCUAACCCUGCUAAUGGCCGUCUUCUCAAGUUCUAAUCCCCAGGAGAUACUUCAUCGUGACGUUUAUGCCAUUCGCGCUGUCAUUGGCUGUCGCUUUCCGGCGAUACAGCCGCCGGACGACGAAAAACUGGCCGGUCAGAUGCAGCUCUCUGGUGCGAUGAAAACAGCCGGAUGUGACGUCAUUUCGGCGUGCCGCACGCCGGAUCGGACGCAAAAUCGGACCGUGUGUCUCCUGCUUUAGGCUCUGGGACCAAUAAGUACAUAGGCCUUUUAGUGCCAGGCUGGCUGCAACAGCGGCCAACCAGCCACAGGCUUCAAUAUAUCAAGAGACGCUUAUAGACAAUGUCCAGCUCGCCAGGAUUUUUUUUUUAUAGUUCAAGCCAACGCUUUGACUUGAGCACAUCUUGUAUUUUCUUCGACAGCAGGCGACCCGUGCUCUGUACUGUAGUUUCGACGCUGAUUUGCUUCUCAGCACCCCAGUGCUUCAGCAUGGCUGUGAAAAGAGCAGAAGUAGAAACAUUAAAAAGCCCCAUUGGCAGCUGUCACAGCACAAAUCAGCAGAAGCUUGAAUAGAAGCUACAGUUAAGUGCAUGUGAAUUGAACUGCUGGCACUGCUUGUGGGAGCCAUCGAUACAACUUAGCAACAGUUAGAUGUUUCCUAAAUAUCUGUUUAUCAACCCACCUGUAACAACAGCCACCUUCUCUGGCGUCAAUGGCUCUUUUGUCACUUCACCUAGGCAUUUUUUUCGCGGCGCCACCGCACCUGUGACGCUGUUCUUGGACAAAACAUCCUUCCCCCACGCAACUUCAGCUGUGUCUUUUACCACAAGUGUGGGUUUCCUGUCUUUCAAGAUCUUGUAUGCUGCCUCGGCCCUCACGAUGACUCCCUUGGCAAGGUGGAACUGUGAGAAAAAAUAAGCAAUAUAUUGCUUACAACUUCAUAAAGAGGCAGCAGACCAAACGGAAAGUGCACGAAAAUUGAAAAUAAAAAGGCAUCACCUUUCUGCCUAAGGUCAAAGAUCUACCUAGCUGAAAUUGUGGUAAUGGCUUACGGAGUAAUAUGGAUAUACUCGCAAUGCCAUCGUCCAAGUAGGUGAAGUCAGCAGCUGCUGUCGCAUUGCUGCCGA